GCCUGGGUGGCUCAGUUGGUUGAGCGUCCGACUUCGGCUCAGGUCAUGAUCUCGCAGUUUUGUGGGUUUGAGUCCUGCGUCGGGCU
rnacentral:tRNA from 1 species